CGCCCUCUUAGCUCAGAUGGUAGAGCACCUCCAUGGUAAGGAGGGGUCAACGGUUCGAGUCCGUCAGAGGCUC
rnacentral:tRNA from 1 species